rnacentral:rRNA from 1 species
AAACUCUUUCGACGAGUCGAGUUGUUUGGGAAUGCAGCUCAAAAUGGGUGGUAUAUUUCAUCUAAAGCUAAAUAUUGGCCAGAGACCGAUAGCGCACAAGUAGAGUGAUCGAAAGAUGAAAAGCACUUUGGAAAGAGAGUUAAACAGUACGUGAAAUUGUUGAAAGGGAAGCGCUUGCAAUCAGACUUGCGCCUGGUUAAUCAUCUAGGUUUUUAUCUGGUGCACUUGAUCAGGCUCAGGCCAGCAUCGGUUUGAGUGGUUGGAUAAAGGCUUAGGGAAUGUAGCUCUCUUCGGGGAGUGUUAUAGCCCUAGGUGCAAUGCAGCCUACUUGGACCGAGGACCGCGCUUCGGCUAGGAUGCUGG